UCGUUAAGGCUGGGCUGUGAUGGGGAGGGAAAAUUUACAGUACCGAAGGUCAUGAUCUCACACUGCCAAGAAAAGCCUCUAGCCAGGAGAAGGUGCCCGUACCGCAAACCGACACAGGUAGGCGAGAAGAGAAUUCUAAGGCGCGCGGAAGAACUCUCGUUAAGGAACUCGGCAAAAUGACCCCGUAACUUCGGGAGAAGGGGUGCCCCGGUAGAGUGAAUAGCUCGAGGGGGCCGCAGUGAAAAGGCCCAAGCGACUGUUUAGCAAAAACACAGGUCUGUGCGAAGCCGCAAGGCGAAGUAUACGGGCUGACGCCUGCCCGGUGCUGGAAGGUUAAGGGGAGUGGUUAGGGGUAACCCGAAGCUAUGAACCGAAGCCCCAGUAAACGGCGGCCGUAACUAUAACGGUCCUAAGGUAGCGAAAUUCCUUGUCAGGUAAAUUCUGACCCGCACGAAUGGCGUAACGACUUGGGCGCUGUCUCAACGAGAGAUCCGGUGAAAUUUUAAUACCUGUGAAGAUGCAGGUUACCCGCGACAAGACGGAAAGACCCCAUGGAGCUUUACUGCAGCUUGAUAUUGGACUUUGAUACGAUUUGUACAGGAUAGGUGGGAGCCUAGGAAGCCGGAGC
rnacentral:rRNA from 1 species